CGCAUCCCGCGGCGAGAUGCUCGCGGUGCCGCUACGUGCCGUGGACUGGGAGAUGGCUUUAGGCUUCUUACCCGCCUUCCUCUGAUCGACCCUCGUGUCCCCUGAGCAGUGUUGUCCCAGCUGUAGAAUUUGGAAGUGGUUUACUGGAAUAAAAAAACCUAUCUUUUUUUUUUUUUUUCUUUUUUUUCUGUUAUUAGCUUUUCUUUCUGGCUUUUGCUCUGGCUGCUUUAGGGAACUCACACAGGAGAGAUGGCACAAGAGGGCUGAAAACGGAGCGGGGGUCAGGGACUGGAUUUUUAAGCAGCUUGAAUGGUUUCUUUUUGUUUUUUAAGAGAUGCACUUGCCUAUGAUACUGUCUCUCCAGUGAAAUGAUUACUGCUCCAUUACUCUAUUGAUACAAUAUUGUGCAUGCUAGUGUCGUAUUUCUAUACAGUAGCUUGAAAUUUAUUAACUUUUAAUGUAGAUGUUAUGUAUUCCUAUGACAAAAUAGUCUUCAAAAAUUUUUUAAAGUUUUUUAAUUUAUUUUUUUUUCUUUUGGGGGUAAAGUUUGCUCUACCAAAUAGUGAUCGUAACAAACUGAUCUGUUAUGGAUGUUGCUAUAUUGACAUGCAAUUAUAUAUGAUUUUGUUUUUAAAAAGGAGAAAAAAAAAAAGCAAAAGAAAACACCAGUGUUAGCUUAAUCUUAAUGUCUGGUGUUCGUCAUGGUGAAAUUAUAACUAUUACAGUGUAGGAGAACAAUGACUGUGUUCUUUGAAUGAGCCUUUGUUUGUGCUUUUUGUCAUGUUAUGCAGUGAACUAUUUUUAAGGUCUAAUCAGUGAUUAUUUUUCCAACUCCGUGUUUCUGUAAGGAAUUAUUUCACACACGGACCAUUCUUAGCAGUUUUUCCUCAGUGAUGGAAUAUCAUGAAUGUGAGUCAUUAUGUAGCCGUCGUACAUUGAGCAAAUAAACUUACAGAUCUGACGUCAGCGCUGCUUAA